UGAAAGAUGUGUCAUAUCAUGUGCCCUCUAUGAGGAGUUUUGGAUUAAGGUAAGAAAAUCAUGUGCUCUUAAACUUGAAUAUAUUAUAAACAUUGAUCUAGUGACUAACCUUUUUUGUACUUCUGUUGAAUGUUGUUCAUAUAACUAUAUCUGUUGCAUUAGGAGAUGGUCUGCUUGCAACCAGAUUUGACUGCUGCAUAUGCCAACCUCGUUGCCUCUCUUCGUCCUUCCUUACAGAAACUAGUCUAGUGGUUCAAUAAAGGUGCUGAAUGGGUUUAAAAAUAGAAUUUUAUCGUUCUGUCACAAAUUUAAUGGCUUGUUCAACUGUAAAUUAUUCAGUAUUUCCUCUUUUCUGUAUGUAGUAUGCCAAGUACAUGGAAAACCAUAGCAUUGAAGGAGUGAGGCAUGUCUUCAGCAGAGCUUGUACUAUACAUCUCCCAAAGAAACCCAUGGUGCAUAUGCUUUGGGCAGCUUUUGAGGAACAGCAGGGUAAUAUUAAUGAAGCCAGGAAUAUCUUGAGAACAUUUGAAGAAUGUGUUCUAGGAUUGGCAAUGGUUCGUUUACGAAGAGUAAGUUUAGAACGACGGCAUGGAAAUCUGGAAGAAGCUGAACAUUUGCUUCAGGAUGCCAUUAAGAAUGCCAAAUCAAAUAAUGAAUCUUCAUUUUAUGCUGUCAAACUAGCCCGGCAUCUUUUCAAAAUACAGAAAAACCUUCCAAAAUCAAGAAAGGUGCUUUUGGAAGCAAUCGAAAGAGACAAAGAGAACACAAAGUUAUACCUCAAUUUACUUGAAAUGGAAUAUAGUGGUGACCUCAAACAAAAUGAAGAAAAUAUCCUAAAUUGUUUUGACAAAGCUGUACAUGGUUCAUUACCUAUUAAAAUGAGAAUUACAUUUUCUCAGAGAAAAGUGGAAUUUCUUGAAGAUUUUGGUUCCGAUGUUAAUAAGCUUCUGAAUGCUUAUGAUGAACAUCAAACACUCCUGAAAGAACAGGAUUCUUUAAAAAGGAAAGCAGAAAAUGGAUCAGAAGAACCAGAGGAAAAGAAAGCACAUACAGAAGAUACAACUUCAUCAUCUACACAGAUGAUUGAUGGUGAUUUACAGGCAAACCAAGCUGUAUAUAAUUAUAGUGCGUGGUAUCAAGUGAGUCUGCAUAAUUACAAUUCUUUGUUCAUAGAUGUUAUUAGCAUAUAUUAGGAUAGUUUCUUUUUUUUAAAAAAAGUUUUUGUUCCAAUUGUGUAAUACAUUCUUUGGUGGUUAAGUACUAGAAUUUUAGCAGUGAACACUUGCUUGUUUUCUUAAACAUACCUGCUUUAAUUAUACUUUUACAUAUGGAACUCUGCCACAGUUCUAAUAUGCUAACAUACUUACUUUUUCCUUUCAGUACAAUUAUCAGAAUCCUUGGAAUUAUGGACAAUAUUAUCCUCCCCCUCCAACCUGAUGGGAAAAAUGUAAAUUUCAAAUGGAGUGUGUGAAAAGUAUGAAAUUAUUAUUUUUUUUAAUGAGGGAUGUAAACAGUAUAAGCUUGUUGUAUUUGAUAACCUGUCUUCCUUGUUUCUGUGUAACAUGAUUUGUUUAGUAAUAGGGGGAAAAUGUCAAUUAGUAGCUUACCACAGAUACUGUUUCCUACCAUUUAUAAAAUUUACUUUUUAUUGAAAAACUAUUUUUUGAUUUUUGCAUUAAGUGGUCUAGAAUUCUUUUGCAGUGCAUUUGCAACAGAAUUUUGUAGCCUUAAGGGGUAGGAAGAAAAAGCUGACUGCAAAUCAUGUCAGUGUAGUACAAAAUUCUGAAAACACAUAAGGGCUGGUUAUUUACCUCCUUUUUUUUUUUUUUUUUUUUUUUUUUUAAAGAAAAAAGGACUUUUAACCUUUGCUGACAAGGUUUUGUCUGUUUCAGUUAUACUUGUGAAUUGUGAUCUAACUGCAGAAAGGAUACAUUAUUGAAAUACUAUGCCUUGGAAUAGAGAUUAUGAAUGAGAAAAUGGAAUGUUUGCAUCCCUUUAAAAAUGAAAAUCAUAUCAAAAGUAUGUUUCAGGAGACUUUGUAUUUAGAAUAUUCAUGUAAAACUUGUGAACAAGCUUUCAUUUUGAUCAAACUGAUCUUCAUUUUUGUAAUAAAACGGAAGACUCAUCC
rnacentral:sRNA from 1 species